AAAUGGUAAUGCUACAUUGAUACCAUGAAGAAUAGAUACCACUACUGAGAAGUGCUUCUAUUGUGUUUCAGUUCCAGCUUUGUUAUCUACUUGAACUCUAUUUCAAUCUCUAUAUACAAGAAUAAGGUUUUCUUCUCGCUUUGGAGACAAGCCAGAGCCUUUUAACAACACAUUAUGCUGGUGACUGGGUAGUUCCAGGGGCUAAUGAGGAGACAGAAAAUCACAGUGAACCCAGUGACCAUUUCAAAUCCAAGUGUUGCAUCGGAGCAGUUUUCCAAAGCUGGUGAUGCUCCUUUGCAGAUCAGUGAUUUGCUUCAGGAUGCCCCUCACUCUCCUGCACUAACUGCAGCUCCUGCUGAAGUGGGAAAGAAAAGAACAUAUUGAAAAAGAGAGAGAAGACAAAGAGGAAAGUGUGCUUCUGGAUUUUGCAAAUAUCUCUAAACGUCACUACAAGAUUUUACCUGCACACUCACCAAUUUCAUGUUAGGCAUGGCAAGU